rnacentral:miRNA from 1 species
UUUGUACUCAGCAAAGAUGCUGC